rnacentral:rRNA from 1 species
GCCUAACACAUGCAAGUCGAGCGGAUGAAGGGAGCUUGCUCCCUGAUUCAGCGGCGGACGGGUGAGUAAUGCCUAGGAAUCUGCCUGGUAGUGGGGGACAACGUCUCGAAAGGGACGCUAAUACCGCAUACGUCCUACGGGAGAAAGUGGGGGAUCUUCGGACCUCACGCUAUCAGAUGAGCCUAGGUCGGAUUAGCUAGUUGGUGAGGUAAUGGCUCACCAAGGCGACGAUCCGUAACUGGUCUGAGAGGAUGAUCAGUCACACUGGAACUGAGACACGGUCCAGACUCCUACGGGAGGCAGCAGUGGGGAAUAUUGGACAAUGGGCGAAAGCCUGAUCCAGCCAUGCCGCGUGUGUGAAGAAGGUCUUCGGAUUGUAAAGCACUUUAAGUUGGGAGGAAGGGCAUUAACCUAAUACGUUAGUGUUUUGACGUUACCGACAGAAUAAGCACCGGCUAACUCUGUGCCAGCAGCCGCGGUAAUACAGAGGGUGCAAGCGUUAAUCGGAAUUACUGGGCGUAAAGCGCGCGUAGGUGGUUUGUUAAGUUGAAUGUGAAAUCCCCGGGCUCAACCUGGGAACUGCAUCCAAAACUGGCAAGCUAGAGUAGGGCAGAGGGUGGUGGAAUUUCCUGUGUAGCGGUGAAAUGCGUAGAUAUAGGAAGGAACACCAGUGGCGAAGGCGACCACCUGGGCUCAUACUGACACUGAGGUGCGAAAGCGUG